UUAAGCGACUAAGCGUACACGGUGGAUGCCCUGGCAGUCAGAGGCGAUGAAGGACGUGCUAAUCUGCGAUAAGCGUCGGUGAGGUGAUAUGAACCGUUAUAACCGGCGAUUUCCGAAUGGGGAAACCCAGUGUGUUUCGACACACUAUCAUUAACUGAAUCCAUAGGUUAAUGAGGCGAACCGGGGGAACUGAAACAUCUAAGUACCCCGAGGAAAAGAAAUCAACCGAGAUUCCCCCAGUAGCGGCGAGCGAACGGGGAGGAGCCCAGAGCCUGAAUCAGUGUGUGUGUUAGUGGAAGCGUCUGGAAAGGCGUGCGAUACAGGGUGACAGCCCCGUACACAAAAAUGCACAUAUUGUGAGCUCGAUGAGUAGGGCGGGACACGUGGUAUCCUGUCUGAAUAUGGGGGGACCAUCCUCCAAGGCUAAAUACUCCUGACUGACCGAUAGUGAACCAGUACCGUGAGGGAAAGGCGAAAAGAACCCCGGCGAGGGGAGUGAAAAAGAACCUGAAACCGUGUACGUACAAGCAGUGGGAGCCUCUUAAUGGGGUGACUGCGUACCUUUUGUAUAAUGGGUCAGCGACUUAUAUUCUGUAGCAAGGUUAACCGAAUAGGGGAGCCGAAGGGAAACCGAGUCUUAACUGGGCGUUAAGUUGCAGGGUAUAGACCCGAAACCCGGUGAUCUAGCCAUGGGCAGGUUGAAGGUUGGGUAACACUAACUGGAGGACCGAACCGACUAAUGUUGAAAAAUUAGCGGAUGACUUGUGGCUGGGGGUGAAAGGCCAAUCAAACCGGGAGAUAGCUGGUUCUCCCCGAAAGCUAUUUAGGUAGCGCCUCGUGAAUUCAUCUCCGGGGGUAGAGCACUGUUUCGGCAAGGGGGUCAUCCCGACUUACCAACCCGAUGCAAACUGCGAAUACCGGAGAAUGUUAUCACGGGAGACACACGGCGGGUGCUAACGUCCGUCGUGAAGAGGGAAACAACCCAGACCGCCAGCUAAGGUCCCAAAGUCAUGGUUAAGUGGGAAACGAUGUGGGAAGGCCCAGACAGCCAGGAUGUUGGCUUAGAAGCAGCCAUCAUUUAAAGAAAGCGUAAUAGCUCACUGGUCGAGUCGGCCUGCGCGGAAGAUGUAACGGGGCUAAACCAUGCACCGAAGCUGCGGCAGCGACACUAUGUGUUGUUGGGUAGGGGAGCGUUCUGUAAGCCUGUGAAGGUGGCCUGUGAGGGUUGCUGGAGGUAUCAGAAGUGCGAAUGCUGACAUAAGUAACGAUAAAGCGGGUGAAAAGCCCGCUCGCCGGAAGACCAAGGGUUCCUGUCCAACGUUAAUCGGGGCAGGGUGAGUCGACCCCUAAGGCGAGGCCGAAAGGCGUAGUCGAUGGGAAACAGGUUAAUAUUCCUGUACUUGGUGUUACUGCGAAGGGGGGACGGAGAAGGCUAUGUUGGCCGGGCGACGGUUGUCCCGGUUUAAGCGUGUAGGCUGGUUUUCCAGGCAAAUCCGGAAAACCAAGGCUGAGGCGUGAUGACGAGGCACUACGGUGCUGAAGCGACAAAUGCCCUGCUUCCAGGAAAAGCCUCUAAGCAUCAGGUAACAUCAAAUCGUACCCCAAACCGACACAGGUGGUCAGGUAGAGAAUACCAAGGCGCUUGAGAGAACUCGGGUGAAGGAACUAGGCAAAAUGGUGCCGUAACUUCGGGAGAAGGCACGCUGAUAUGUAGGUGAAGCGACUUGCUCGUGGAGCUGAAAUCAGUCGAAGAUACCAGCUGGCUGCAACUGUUUAUUAAAAACACAGCACUGUGCAAACACGAAAGUGGACGUAUACGGUGUGACGCCUGCCCGGUGCCGGAAGGUUAAUUGAUGGGGUUAGCGGCAACGCGAAGCUCUUGAUCGAAGCCCCGGUAAACGGCGGCCGUAACUAUAACGGUCCUAAGGUAGCGAAAUUCCUUGUCGGGUAAGUUCCGACCUGCACGAAUGGCGUAAUGAUGGCCAGGCUGUCUCCACCCGAGACUCAGUGAAAUUGAACUCGCUGUGAAGAUGCAGUGUACCCGCGGCAAGACGGAAAGACCCCGUGAACCUUUACUAUAGCUUGACACUGAACAUUGAGCCUUGAUGUGUAGGAUAGGUGGGAGGCUUUGAAGUGUGGACGCCAGUCUGCAUGGAGCCGACCUUGAAAUACCACCCUUUAAUGUUUGAUGUUCUAACGUUGGCCCGUAAUCCGGGUUGCGGACAGUGUCUGGUGGGUAGUUUGACUGGGGCGGUCUCCUCCUAAAGAGUAACGGAGGAGCACGAAGGUUGGCUAAUCCUGGUCGGACAUCAGGAGGUUAGUGCAAUGGCAUAAGCCAGCUUGACUGCGAGCGUGACGGCGCGAGCAGGUGCGAAAGCAGGUCAUAGUGAUCCGGUGGUUCUGAAUGGAAGGGCCAUCGCUCAACGGAUAAAAGGUACUCCGGGGAUAACAGGCUGAUACCGCCCAAGAGUUCAUAUCGACGGCGGUGUUUGGCACCUCGAUGUCGGCUCAUCACAUCCUGGGGCUGAAGUAGGUCCCAAGGGUAUGGCUGUUCGCCAUUUAAAGUGGUACGCGAGCUGGGUUUAGAACGUCGUGAGACAGUUCGGUCCCUAUCUGCCGUGGGCGCUGGAGAACUGAGGGGGGCUGCUCCUAGUACGAGAGGACCGGAGUGGACGCAUCACUGGUGUUCGGGUUGUCAUGCCAAUGGCACUGCCCGGUAGCUAAAUGCGGAAGAGAUAAGUGCUGAAAGCAUCUAAGCACGAAACUUGCCCCGAGAUGAGUUCUCCCUGACUCCUUGAGGGUCCUGAAGGAACGUUGAAGACGACGACGUUGAUAGGCCGGGUGUGUAAGCGCAGCGAUGCGUUGAGCUAACCGGUACUAAUGAACCGUGAGGCUUAAC
rnacentral:rRNA from 2 species